GACGAACGCUGGCGGCGUGCUUAACACAUGCAAGUCGAACGGUAAGGCCCUGCUUUUGUGGGGUGCUCGAGUGGCGAACGGGUGAGUAACACGUGAGUAACCUGCCCUUGACUUUGGGAUAACUUCAGGAAACUGGGGCUAAUACCGGAUAGGAGCUCCUGCUGCAUGGUGGGGGUUGGAAAGUUUCGGCGGUUGGGGCUGGACUCGCGGCUUAUCAGCUUGUUGGUGGGGUAGUGGUUUACCAAGGCUUUGAGGGGUAGCCGGCCUGGGAGGGUGACCGGCCACAUUGGGACUGAGAUACGGCCCAGACUCCUACGGGAGGCAGCAGUGGGGAAUAUUGCACAAUGGGCGGAAGCCUGAUGCAGCAACGCCGCGUGCGGGAUGACGGCCUUCGGGUUGUAAACCGCUUUCGCCUGUGACGAAGCGUGAGUGACGGUAAUGGGUAAAGAAGCACCGGCUAACUACGUG
rnacentral:rRNA from 1 species